rnacentral:rRNA from 1 species
UGUGUAGGUGGUGUCGUAAGUUUGGUGUGAAAUCUCCCGGCUUAACUGGGAGGGUGCGCCGAAGACUGCGAUGCUGGAGUAUGGGAGAGGAAAGCGGAAUUCCUGGUGUAGCGGUGAAAUGCGUAGAUAUCAGGAGGAACACCUGCGGUGUAGACGGCUUUCUGGACCAUUACUGACACUGAGACACGAAAGCGUGGGUAGCAAACA